AACGAACGCUGGCGGCAUGCCUAACACAUGCAAGUCGAACGAGACCUUCGGGUCUAGUGGCGCACGGGUGCGUAACGCGUGGGAACCUGCCUUUAGGUUCGGAAUAACUCAGAGAAAUUUGAGCUAAUACCGGAUGAUGUCUUCGGACCAAAGAUUUAUCGCCUUUAGAUGGGCCCGCGUUGGAUUAGCUAGUUGGUGGGGUAAAGGCCUACCAAGGCGACGAUCCAUAGCUGGUCUGAGAGGAUGAUCAGCCACACUGGGACUGAGACACGGCCCAGACUCCUACGGGAGGCAGCAGUGGGGAAUAUUGGACAAAGGGCGAAAGCCUGAUCCAGCAAUGCCGCGUGAGUGAUGAAGGCCUUAGGGUUGUAAAGCUCUUUUACCCGAGAUGAUAAUGACAGUAUCGGGAGAAUAAGCUCCGGCUAACUCCGUG
rnacentral:rRNA from 1 species